UCCCUGGUGGCCUAGUGAGUUAAGGAUCUGGCCUUGGCACUGCUGUGGCUCAGGUUUGAUUCCUGACCUGGGAA
rnacentral:tRNA from 1 species